GCCUACGGCCAUGCCACCCCGAACAAGCCCAAUUCUGUCUGAUCUCAGAAGCUAAGCAGGGUUGGGCCUGGUUAGCACUUGGAUGGGAGACUACCUAGGAAGACUAGGUACUGUAGGUG
rnacentral:rRNA from 1 species